UACGGAGGGUGCGAGCGUUGUCCGGAUUUAUUGGGCGUAAAGAGCGUGUAGGCGGCCUGAAAGGUCAGCUGUGAAAACUCGAGGCUCAACCUCGAGACGUCGGUUGAAACCAUCUGGCUAGAGUCCGGAAGAGGAGUGUGGAAUUCCCGGUGUAGCGGUGAAAUGCGCAGAUAUCGGGAAGAACACCCGUGGCGAAGGCGGCACUCUGGGACGGUACUGACGCUGAGACGCGAAAGCGUGGGGAGCGAACAGG
rnacentral:rRNA from 1 species